GAUGAACGCUGGCGGCGUGCCUAAUACAUGCAAGUCGAGCGAACGGACGAGAAGCUUGCUUCUCUGAUGUUAGCGGCGGACGGGUGAGUAACACGUGGAUAACCUACCUAUAAGACUGGGAUAACUUCGGGAAACCGGAGCUAAUACCGGAUAAUAUUUUGAACCGCAUGGUUCAAAAGUGAAAGACGGUCUUGCUGUCACUUAUAGAUGGAUCCGCGCUGCAUUAGCUAGUUGGUAAGGUAACGGCUUACCAAGGCAACGAUGCAUAGCCGACCUGAGAGGGUGAUCGGCCACACUGGAACUGAGACACGGUCCAGACUCCUACGGGAGGCAGCUGUAGGGAAUCUUCCGCAAUGGGCGAAAGCCUGACGGAGCAACGCCGCGUGAGUGAUGAAGGUCUUCGGAUCGUAAAACUCUGUUAUUAGGGAAGAACAUAUGUGUAAGUAACUGUGCACAUCUUGACGGUACCUAAUCAGAAAGCCACGGCUAACUACGUG
rnacentral:rRNA from 1 species